AAUACCGGCACUCUAGGAGUUUCCAAUCUUAAAUUUUCUUUUAUUCCAAAAAUGACGUUAACGUUUCAGCUCCCCGUGGAGCUUUCAUCAGAGCUAAAACGUUGACGUCGUUUUUGGAAUAAAAGAAAAUUUAAGAUUGGAAACUCCUAGAGUGCCGGUAUU